UGGGGAAUAUUGGACAAUGGGCGAAAGCCUGAUCCAGCCAUGCCGCGUGUGUGAGGAAGGCCUUUUGGUUGUAAAGCACUUUAAGCGAGGAGGAGGCUACUUGGAUUAAUACUCUAGGAUAGUGGACGUUACUCGCAGAAUAAGCACCGGCUAACUCUGUGCCAGCAGCCGCGGUAAUACAGAGGGUGCGAGCGUUAAUCGGAUUUACUGGGCGUAAAGCGUGCGUAGGCGGCUUCUUAAGUCGGAUGUGAAAUCCCUGAGCUUAACUUAGGAAUUGCAUUCGAUACUGGGAAGCUAGAGUAUGGGAGAGGAUGGUAGAAUUCCAGGUGUAGCGGUGAAAUGCGUAGAGAUCGGGAGGAAUACCGAUGGCGAAGGCAGCCAUCUGGCCUAAUACUGACGCUGAGGUACGAAAGCAUGGGGAGCAAACAGG
rnacentral:rRNA from 1 species